AAAGGCCGCCACAAAAUCCCUCAAUGCCCUCGUCAAGCUGCACUUAGUGCCCUUCAAGUUGUACUAUAAGGGGGGCAACUGUAACGGAUUAGAAGAAAAAAAAAAAAAAAUGGUUGUCGAUAGGACCGAAAAUCGGAGUUUUCGUUCGCACACGACCCACAAAGAGUGCCCGACGCCGGGGUCAUCACAGAAACCAAACCCGACCUUCAGCCACCUCCAAGACAUCUAUAGAGAAGAAAAAUAGUGAGAAAACGAGAAAGACGGUAAGAAAAUCCGACGAAGCUCCGGCAAAUUCAAACCCUACGAAAUCGACGUUGAAACCUCCGAUUUACGCAACGAAAAUAAUCCCAGAGACUUUUACACACACCAGGGGUAGAUUUAGACGAUUCCUACACGUUGACCGUCGGGUAAAGGAGACAGAACGUUGGAUUUCCGAACCCUCUCAGAUCCGGGAAUGUUAGGCCUUUAUGAACCAAACAAAUACAAAAAACGAAAUUAGGGGGAGAAGGAGACUCGGAAACGGAGGAAAAAUUAGGGAAAAAGGACGUCGGAACGAUGUUACCGAGGAGAGAGAGAGAGAUCGCCGGAAAAUUUUGUGUAACCGGGCGAAGAAGACGAAGUUCGACCCGAGGGCCGGACUCCCGCGACCCGAACAGAGUCCAACCCACUUCAGUCCAAACCUCGACCGACGACACCCCAGCGGCCCAGUCGCCUCAGCCCAAACCAGAAAGCCCAAUUAUGGCCUAACCCAUCAGCCGCGACCCGAGACCCGCAAGCCCAAUCCAAUACCCGACGCUCACAGCCCAGCCCACCUGCAGACGUUUCCUCUCAGUUCAGACCCGAUCCAUCACUCCCGAUCAACCCAGACCUGCGACUGCAACCGAAAACCCGUGCCUCGACCUCUAGUUGUGCCACUUGGCACGUCUACAGCGUGACACCCCUCAGCUCCGGCGGUGGCUUCUCGACUCCGGCGGCUUAUUCGGCUCGAAAAACCUGUUUUCAACCUGUUUGUCAUCGUUCCGACCCUCCCGGACUUAGUUUCGACCCCGUUUAAGGAACCAACCACCAACGGAAGCAUAGGACGUAUACGAGGAGCUAGAAGCUUACGUUUAUAUUUUAGGGAGUACUUCGGCUAAGGCCUACCAAAUAAAGGCAAGGCUCCCAUGUGAGAUCGACGGCGGCAUCGCACACCCCGAGACCGUGGCACAUGCAUAGGAUAGUUAUUUUCCAUUUCGUAGUAUAGGUUAGUAUAGGUUGAAUUUUGUUUGCAUUCAAAGUAUAAGUUAGUUUAGGUUGAAUUCCCGUUUGCAUCAUUAGUAUAGGUUAGAAUAGGUUGAAUUGUAAUCGCAUAAUAAAUCAUUGAGUAGUAUAAGACAAUUGUUUCAAUGUUGUUCUUUU